AGAGUUUGAUCCUGGCUCAGGAUGAACGCUGGCGGUAUGCUUAACACAUGCAAGUCGAACGAAGCCUUUCGGGGCUGAGUGGCGGACGGGUGAGUAACGCGUGAGAAUCUGGCUUCAGGUCUGGGACAACCACUGGAAACGGUGGCUAAUACCGGAUGUGCCGAGAGGUGAAAGGUUAACUGCCUGAAGAUGAGCUCGCGUCUGAUUAGCUAGUUGGAAGUGUAAUGGACUCCCAAGGCGACGAUCAGUAGCUGGUCUGAGAGGACGAUCAGCCACACUGGGACUGAGACACGGCCCAGACUCCUACGGGAGGCAGCAGUGGGGAAUUUUCCGCAAUGGGCGAAAGCCUGACGGAGCAAUACCGCGUGAGGGAGGAAGGCUCUUGGGUCGUAAACCUCUUUUCUCAGGGAAGAACACAAUGACGGUACCUGAGGAAUAAGCAUCGGCUAACUCCGUGCCAGCAGCCGCGGUAAUACGGAGGAUGCAAGCGUUAUCCGGAAUGAUUGGGCGUAAAGCGUCCGCAGGUGGCAAUGUAAGUCUGCUGUUAAAGAGUCUAGCUCAACUAGAUAAGAGCAGUGGAAACUACAUAGCUAGAGUACGUUCGGGGCAGAGGGAAUUCCUGGUGUAGCGGUGAAAUGCGUAGAGAUCAGGAAGAACACCGGUGGCGAAGGCGCUCUGCUAGGCCGUAACUGACACUGAGGGACGAAAGCUAGGGGAGCGAAUGGGAUUAGAUACCCCAGUAGUCCUAGCCGUAAACGAUGGAUACUAGGCGUGGCUUGUAUCGACCCGAGCCGUGCCGUAGCUAACGCGUUAAGUAUCCCGCCUGGGGAGUACGCCGGCAACGGUGAAACUCAAAGGAAUUGACGGGGGCCCGCACAAGCGGUGGAGUAUGUGGUUUAAUUCGAUGCAACGCGAAGAACCUUACCAAGGCUUGACAUGUCGCGAAUCUCGGUGAAAGCUGAGAGUGCCUUCGGGAGCGCGAACACAGGUGGUGCAUGGCUGUCGUCAGCUCGUGUCGUGAGAUGUUGGGUUAAGUCCCGCAACGAGCGCAACCCUCGUUUUUAGUUGCCAGCAUUAAGUUGGGCACUCUAGAGAGACUGCCGGUGACAAACCGGAGGAAGGUGGGGAUGACGUCAAGUCAGCAUGCCCCUUACGCCUUGGGCUACACACGUACUACAAUGCUCCGGACAGAGGGCAGCAAGCAUGCGAAUGCAAGCAAAUCCCGGAAACCGGAGCUCAGUUCAGAUCGCAGGCUGCAACUCGCCUGCGUGAAGGAGGAAUCGCUAGUAAUUGCAGGUCAGCAUACUGCAGUGAAUUCGUUCCCGGGCCUUGUACACACCGCCCGUCACACCAUGGAAGCUGGUAGUGCCCGAAGUCAUUACUCCAACCAUUCGUGGAGGAGGAUGCCUAAGGCAGGACUGGUGACUGGGGUGAAGUCGUAACAAGGUAACC
rnacentral:rRNA from 1 species